UACGGGAGGCAGCAGUGGGGAAUAUUGCACAAUGGGCGCAAGCCUGAUGCAGCCAUGCCGCGUGUAUGAAGAAGGCCUUCGGGUUGUAAAGUACUUUCAGUCGUGAGGAAGGUGUUAAGGUUAAUAACCUUAGCAAUUGACGUUAGCGACAGAAGAAGCACCGGCUAACUCCGUGCCAGCAGCCGCGGUAAUACGGAGGGUGCGAGCGUUAAUCGGAAUUACUGGGCGUAAAGGGCACGCAGGCGGUUAAUUAAGUUGGAUGUGAAAUCCCCGGGCUUAACCUGGGAAUGGCAUUCAAGACUGGUUAGCUAGAGUCUUGUAGAGGGGGUUAGAAUUCCAUGUGUAGCGGUGAAAUGCGUAGAGAUGUGGAGGAAUACCGGUGGCGAAGGCGGCCCCUGGACAAGACUGACGCUCAUGUGCGAAAGCGUGGGGAGCAAACAGGGAUUAGAUACC
rnacentral:rRNA from 1 species